rnacentral:misc_RNA from 1 species
AAGUCGUAACAAGGUAACCGUAGGUGAACCUGCGGUUGGAUCAUUAAUAAAUGAAAAAGGACUUCGGUCUGGUUUCGUUCGUUCGUUCGUUCGUUCAAGUGAACAUUUUGUGAACUGUAAGGUCUCUGGCGGCUGGGUGUAACUAACCUUAGGGCCAUGUUGCAUCUGUCAACUUGAGAAAUCAGGUCGUGGACAAACCGCCAACCAUCUGUUUUGACUUGAUGUAUUCUAUUUUUAUCUAACAUUUACUUGUAUAAAAUAUACAAACAACUUUUGGCAACGGAUCUCUUGGCUCUCGCAUCGAUGAAGAACGC